rnacentral:rRNA from 1 species
GAUGAACGCUGGCGGCGUGCCUAAUACAUGCAAGUCGAGCGAACGGACGAGCUGCUUUCUUUUCUGGUGUUCGCGGCGGACGGGUGUGUAACACGUAGAUAACCUACCUAUAAGGCUGGGAUAACUUCGGCGAACCGGAGCUAAUACCCGCUAAUAUUUUGAACCGCAAGGUUCAAAAGUGAAAGACGGUCUUCCUGUCACUUAUAGAUUGAUCCGCGCUGCAUUAGCUAGUUGGUAAGGUAACGGCUUACCAAGGCAACGAUGCAUAGCCGACCUGAGAGGGUGAUCGGCCACACUGGAACUGAGACACGGUCCAGACUCCUACGGGAGGCAGCAGUAGGGAAUUUUCCGCAAUGGGCGAAAGCCUGACGGAGCAACGCCGCGUGAGUGAUGAAGGUCUUCGGAUCGUAAAACUCUGUUAGUAGGGAAGAACAUAUGUGUAAGUAACUGGGCAGUGCUUGACGGUACCUAAACAGAAAGCCACGGCUAACUACGUG